GCGGUAUGACGUAGGACUGCUGUCAUCCCAGUGCUUGACACUGGGAUCCAGUUGAGCUAUUUCAACAAAAAUACUGCAUUUGAGAUGAACGUUCCAGACUUAUUUAUAAAUAUAACAAUUAAAGUCUGGAUUCCAGCGUCAAGCACUGGAAUAAUAUCGUUUACUAUGUCUAUA
rnacentral:ncRNA from 1 species